AGCGAACGCUGGCGGCAGGCUUAACACAUGCAAGUCGAACGGGCUUCUUCGGAAGUCAGUGGCAGACGGGUGAGUAACACGUGGGAACGUGCCCUUCGGUUCGGAAUAACUCAGGGAAACUGAGCUAAUACCGGAUACGCCCUUAUGGGGAAAGGUUUACUGCCGAAGGAUCGGCCCGCGUCUGAUUAGCUUGUUGGUGGGGUAACGGCCUACCAAGGCGACGAUCAGUAGCUGGUCUGAGAGGAUGAUCAGCCACACUGGGACUGAGACACGGCCCAGACUCCUACGGGAGGCAGCAGUGGGGAAUAUUGGACAAUGGGCGCAAGCCUGAUCCAGCCAUGCCGCGUGAGUGAUGAAGGCCUUAGGGUUGUAAAGCUCUUUUGUCCGGGACGAUAAUGACGGUACCGGAAGAAUAAGCCCCGGCUAACUUCGUGCCAGCAGCCGCGGUAAUACGAAGGGGGCUAGCGUUGCUCGGAAUCACUGGGCGUAAAGGGCGCGUAGGCGGCCGAUUAAGUCGGGGGUGAAAGCCUGUGGCUCAACCACAGAAUUGCCUUCGAUACUGGUUGGCUUGAGACCGGAAGAGGACAGCGGAACUGCGAGUGUAGAGGUGAAAUUCGUAGAUAUUCGCAAGAACACCAGUGGCGAAGGCGGCUGUCUGG
rnacentral:rRNA from 1 species